UGUACUGGAGGACUGGAAAGUAACCAAUAUAACACUGAUUUUCAAAAAGGGAUCCGGGGGAAUCUGGGAAAUUACAGUCUAAUUAAUUUAACAUCUGUUCCAGGCAAAUUGAUGGAAAGCAUUCUCAAGGAUAAAUUUGUCAAGCAUAUAGAAGAACAGGCCCCACUGAAGGAGAACCAGUGUGGCUUCUGCAAAGAAAACUAUGGUGUGGCCACAUUUCGAGUGCUAUGUACAGUUCUGGUCACCAUGCCUCAAAAAGGACAUUGUAGAACUGGAAAAGGUGCAGAAGAGGGCAACCAAGAUGAUCAGGGGCCUAGAGCACCUUCCUUACGAGAAACAGAGAUAAUCCCAUGAAAAUGAUUGCCAAGACAUUUAGGGCUGACAAAACUAAGUGGAAAAGAAAGCUUUCAAAUACUGGCUGUGAGACACCAACCCUUUACCUCCCUGCUUUUUCCAUGCCAAGGAAAACGAAAGUGCAAGAGAGAGCCAGAUGUUUGCAAUUAACUACCUGACAUCCCCCCUGCCCUCCUGCUAUGGCACUUCCCAAGGCCAGUGAGCAAAUGGUGUAUCAGAAUCCCAGGUUCCAGGUCUGAGUAAUGCAGUGCAGAAUUGCAGGCCUGUCAACACUCCUGGGAUGAAGAAGGCUAAAAGAGAUCCAGGAUUAUACCACUCUUCACCUUGUAAUAAGAGGCUCUACUCAAAUACAUAGCACCCUGGGAGAAGCAUCGCUUAUAUAACCACUGCAGGUGGCAGAUAGAACAGAGGGGGAAAUCAGCAAGAAAGGGGCUGUUGGAACCAGUGAUUCUAAUUGGUGAUUUGUCCAAUUAUAGUAUCACAACGUCUGAGGAUAAGGGCCCAUUCAAAUUUUAUCGUCCCUCCAUGUGAAAACUACCAAAAACAAAAAAGAAAAAGCUUCUUCAGGGCAUCACACCACACAACAGGCAUAUGAUGUGGAAGCACCAUAGCAGCACAUGAUCCAGUGGUGUAAUUGUAUAGUCAGUCUUCAUGCCAGCACUAGCUGAUUGCGUAUAAUUUUUUAGAUUGUGAGCCCUUGGGGACAGGGAGCCAUUUUAUUUAUCUAUUUAUAGCUAUGUAAACCACUUUUGGAACUGUUUGUUGAAAAGCGAUAUAUAAAUAUUCGUUGUACUUGUAUAAAUGUUCCACAGUACAGAGCUAAUGCACAGGGUAAUCAGCCUUCAGAUCUUAGGCCUGUUGUGUGUAACACUAUCUGUGAAGCAUGUUCUGGUGAUCUUCACAGUGGGAUGAUACAUCCAAUGGAAAUAUGGAAGGUAUAUUACAGUGGCUGAGCCAGUUGUCUAACAUUUGAGCAAUCACACAUCUCUCCUCCAAAAACUCCCAUGUGACCUUGGACAAAUUGCUAGCCAAACAUCCACACUGCCAGAAUUGGUUCCACUUUGGCCAAGUGCACAAACAACGAUUUUCACAUCACCUCUGUUCCACAUUAUUCAGUAAAUCCCACAGUAAAACUAUGGCAAGAAGGCAAAUUGAAACAGCAGAUGGUUUCAAGGUGACAGUCCUUUUCCAAAAAUCCAGAGUGCAUUUCUACACUCAGCCACAGCAUGACUGCAGUCUUAUCAUGUGUUGCCAUAUCAUCUUCAUUACUACCUGCCAGGUGAUUCUGCCUAUGCACAAACAUAUUCUAGAUGGGCUUUGCUGUCACUGAUUAUGGCUUGAUUGGCAUGCACAAGGGACAGGGCCUUUUCAGUGGUGAUUCCCAGGAUCUGGAACUCCCUAACACAGUGGGUUUAUGAUGCUUCCUCCCUGUCAGCCUUCAAGAAAGCUUUAAAACCCACCUAUUUGACAGGCAUUUAACAGAUCACUGGUGGGGAGCUUUGUAAGUCUUGUUUGAUGGUUGCACUUAGUAUGUGAUUUCUGACUUUUUAGGAUGUGUUUUUGAAUGGUUUUAAUUGUGAUUUUAAAAUGUUUAUGUUAGCUGCCUUGGGACUUUUGCACACAAAAAGAGAGAUGAGGUAUACACUGAAAAAUAAAUAAAAUAAAAUGUGUGCCCUACACAAAAUUGGCUCACAUUUGGUCCCAUGAUCAAGACCACCCAAGACCCAAUUUGAUCAUGUGCAAAUGCCAGUGAAAUCCAACUAUUUAAUUUGUAUCAGCUGCAAUGUCCAAACCUUUCUUUCCUUUUUGCUUAACAGAA